rnacentral:snRNA from 1 species
AUACUCUGGUUUCUCUUCACAUCGUAUAAAUUUUCACCUUUUACUAAAGAUUUCUGUGGAGAGGAAUAUUUAUGAGUUUGUAACUAAUUUUUUGAGAUCCUGCUUUAAAACAAAAAA